AACGAACGCUGGCGGCAGGCUUAACACAUGCAAGUCGAGCGCCCCGCAAGGGGAGCGGCAGACGGGUGAGUAACGCGUGGGAAUCUACCCAUCUCUACGGAAUAACGCAUGGAAACGUGUGCUAAUACCGUAUACGUCCUUCGGGAGAAAGAUUUAUCGGAGAUGGAUGAGCCCGCGUUGGAUUAGCUAGUUGGUGGGGUAAAGGCCUACCAAGGCGACGAUCCAUAGCUGGUCUGAGAGGAUGAUCAGCCACACUGGGACUGAGACACGGCCCAGACUCCUACGGGAGGCAGCAGUGGGGAAUAUUGGACAAUGGGCGCAAGCCUGAUCCAGCCAAGCCGCGUGAGUGAUGAAGGCCCUAGGGUUGUAAAGCUCUUUCACCGGUGAAGAUAAUGACGGUAACCGGAGAAGAAGCCCCGGCUAACUUCGUGCCAGCCGCCGCCGUAACAC
rnacentral:rRNA from 1 species